CUUAGUUCAUGCGGCGGAUGAGCGCGUUGAUCUUGUCCUCGCGGUUACCAGCCUCGCCACCCUCGAUGUAGUGCAGGCGCUUCUUGGUCAUGCCGCCGAGAGGGGCAGACAGCUUGAAGGGCCAGAGGAAGUUGGAGCAAGCGGUGAAGUGGGGGCCGCAGGUGUAGAUCUCGUGGAUGAGAUCCUCAAUGCAGAUGAUGCCCUUCUCGCCGAGCGCCUUCUCAAUGAUGGAGUUGUCGGUGAGGGGGAUGCGCUGCUUGUUCACCUUGCCGUACCCGCGCUUGUAGAUGAGCUCCUUCACCGACUUGAGGUUGGGGUAGCCGAACAUGACGUAGGGCUCAACCUUCCUCAGCAUGUUGAUAGUCGCCUUGUUCACGCGCAUGAAGACACCGUUGUGGAUCUGGCGCAGGCGGAGGAGCUGCAUGAUCUUGCGGGUCUUGGGGUGCAUGUCGUUGAUACC
rnacentral:lncRNA from 1 species